CUAUAUGGGGGACGUGUCGACACCGAAUACAUUAUUGUGUGUUGAAAUAGUAUUCUAUUCUGUUCAGAGAGGUUUCUGUGCGUGGCUCUCUCGAGUGGAACCUUUGUGCAUUUGCCCUUGGUUUCGGCUAGGCCAGCCACAGCUCCCGAGUAAACUGUCACAAUAGUUUGUUUGCUAAUUCUUAUUUGAUUUAAGAUUAUCGUUGAUUGAGUAUUAAGAUUUAGAGUGUUCAAGUGUCUACAUGCUGAAGUCAACAGGACAAAUAGCUAAAAGCAGAAAAUUACAGUACAGUCGUGUGUGUUAUGUGACAGAUAUCAGUAAUAAAUGUAAAUGCAAGAAGAGGUGUAGUAAGAAUAAAAGAUAAUAGAAAAAUAGGAUGAACUAUUAUUUGUAAUAGAAGCCACAUAGUAGAAGUAUCAAAUAGAACUUGCAAUAGAAAAUUGCUUGAAUUACUGGAAUGUUGUUAUGGUACGAAAGGAGAAGUGCAAUUGAGGAACUUGUAGCAAAGGAGCCAAAACUAGAGAUUGCUACCGAUGUAUGCUUUAUUGCUUAUUAAUGAAACAGGCAUUAAUAUAGACUUAAAAUCAAAACACGAAAAAUUUGAGAAGGGUCUAAUUUGUCGGUGGCUGAUCUAUACAUAUACUUAUGACCUAUAUUAGAAUAGGUAAAAGCGUCUCACUCAUAGAAACUUUUCUCUCGGCGGGAGUGUCCCGAAUUAUCGGGAGUUGUACCGAUUUCGACUCACAGAAUAAUCAAGAUAAUUAUUCUGAGUGUAGACGAGCCUUAAUAUUAAUAUCGGCGAGUUGAGGGUAGACUAAUUUUAUCUACGUAAACGAGCAGCGCGGGAGCGCUUUUCACUUUUGGUGAGCAGCCGCGGUGAGCAGACGGAGAGUGAGGGAGUUAUCAGUGUCGUGGGUGCGAGAGGACCCCGCGGAGCGGAGCCGAGGCGCCCAGGCUCGGGGAGCCGAGGCGGGCGUGAUGGCCCGGUUCAGACAACAGCCAGUUACUGCAAGUGCGCAGCUAAGUGACCUUUCUACUUACCUUU